AUCCAUGGCGUUCGGGCACUCCAUUUUCAUGCCCGGGCGUACAUAAAGAUAGGAGGAACAGAACACCCGCAGGCUUGCGGUGCGUCAGUGUGGAGACCUGACGUAAUGCCGCGCGUCCCAUCGCGGACGGCGGCGAGGCGCCCCAUUGCGGAGGCAGAGGCGCCAGAGCCGGAAAAUGUCA
ncrna:unclassified sequences malK-I RNA